rnacentral:misc_RNA from 1 species
UAUCGUAUAAAAUGGAGGUGCUGGGGCUGUCGCUGACCUUUGAAAAAGGUCGUGCACGCCUGGAGCACACUCUCAUAUCCAUCUCACCCCUUUGUGCAUUGCCGCGUGGGUCCCCUUUUGGCUUGUUCCGAGGGGGUGACCUGCGUUUUUACAUAGACACCCUUUGAAUGCAUGUGUAGAACGUCUUACUUUUUGCGAUCACACGCAAUCAAUACAACUUUCAACAACGGAUCUCUUGGCUCUCGCAUCGAUGAAGAACGCAGCGAAAUGCGAUACGUAAUGUGAAUUGCAGAAUUCAGUGAAUCAUCGAAUCUUUGAACGCACCUUGCGCCCCUUGGUAUUCCGAGGGGCACACCCGUUUGAGUGUCGUGAAUACUCUCAACCGUCUUGGUUUCUUUGACCACGAAGGCUUGGACUUUGGAGGUUUUUCUUGCUGGCCUCUUUUGAAGCCAGCUCCUCCUAAAUGAAUGGGUGGGGUCCGCUUUGCUGAUCCUCGACGUGAUAAGCAUUUCUUCUACGUCUCAGUGUCAGCUCGGAACCCGCUUUCCAACCGUCUUUGGACAAAGACAAUGUUCGAGUUGUGACACGACCUUACAAACCUUG